CUUUAUUGGGGUUGCGGACAUAUCAUAACGAAGAGGUAUCAUAAUUGAAGAGGUUUGGAAAGACCCACCACAGAAGGUAAUAGUCCUGUAUGUUAAACGAGAAGACUUCAGAUAUGAUCCAGAGUACUACGGGACACGUGAAACCCUGUGGGAAGCAGGAGGGACCACCCUCCAAGGCUAAAUACUACCUAGUGACCGAUAGCGUAUAGUACCGUGAGGGAAAGGUGAAAAGAACC
rnacentral:rRNA from 1 species